GGAGAGUACACUCUUAAGAAAAAAGGUUCUUCAAAGGUUCUGAAACGAUGGUAAAGGUUCUAUAUAGAACCAUAGCUUACUGAAGAACCAUUUUUUGCUGAAAUGGUUCUUUGUCUUGGCAAAAGGGUUCUUUAUUUCCCUCCUUUUUUGAUUUUAAAUUUAGUCAGUUAUUUUCAAGCUGCCUCCUGAUUAUUUUCACCUGUAAAAGCUCUGAAUCAUCAGUCCUGCUGAACUGCCUGCAGACUAACAUCCCAAACAGGUAAGAGAGGAAAAUAAUCAUCAUUUACUGUUAAAAACAUUUUGAAAAUUGAAGUUUUGUGUGUUCUUAUUGUAAUUUAUUUAUUUUAUAACAGGUAAACUUUAUACUGUAAGCUUCAUUCCCUUUAAAGCAGAGUUUUUGUAUGUGAGGUAAUCUUACUGGGAGUGAAGGCAGUGCGUAUGACAGCUUAAUAUGAGACACAUCCUGUAUUUAAAGGUCAACUUUAUACUGUAAGCUUCAUUCCAUUUAUAACAGAGUUUUUAUAUGUGAGGUAAUCUUGCUGGGAGUGAAGGCAGUGCGUAUGACCACUUGAUAUGAGAGACACAUCCUGUUUUUAAAGGUGAUGUAUGCAUGUUACUUUCAAUCCUGGCAUUAAAAUAAUAAUAUUUACUGUUUAAACAUUUUGUAAAUUGAGGUUUUGUGUGUUUUUGAUGUACUUUAUUUCUUUUAUAACAGGUCAACAUACUGUAAGCUUCAUUCCCUUUAAAGCAGGUAAUCUUCAUAUUGUUUUAAAUGAUAUAUUUCAGGGACUCUGCUUUAACAAUGACUUAGGAUAAUGAUUUGUUAUAGUGUUUGUUAUAAAGCAUAUAAAUGUAUAUUUUACAUUAAGUUUAUUAAACUAAUUAUGAAAAGAAUGUGGUACAACAUGUGUUUAGUUUUUUUAUUGAUAUUUCAGAGUUUUCGUAUGUGAGGUAAUC